rnacentral:pre_miRNA from 1 species
GAUUUCAACUAAAAAAGUCAUCAAUAACAAAGUCGUAUAACUCAUCAAGAUCUAUAACUUUUAUUUGGGUCAUUUCUUCAUCCAACAAAGCGAUUUGUAACAUUGUUCACAAAAUGUAUAUAUCUUUUAUAUAGUUUAUGAACUAUAAGAGAGUAUGUAAAUUUUGUGAACAAUGUUACUAUCACUUUACCGGAUAAAGAAAUGACCAAAAUAAAAGUUAUAGAUAUUGAUGAGUUAUACAACUUUGCUUUUGAUGACAUUUUCAGUUGAAAUC